AUUGAACGCUGGCGGCAGGCUUAACACAUGCAAGUCGAACGAGUGGCGGACGGGUGAGUAAUGCUUGGGAAUCUAGCUUAUGGAGGGGGAUAACUACUGGAAACUGUAGCUAAUACCGCGUACCAUAGGAUGAUCCCAAGUGGGAUUAGGUAGUUGGUGAGUUAAAGGCUCACCAAGCCGACGAUCCCUAGCUGGUCUGAGAGGAUGACCAGCCAAACGGGGACUGAGACACGGCCCAGAAUCCUACGGGAGGCAGCAGUGGGGAAUAUUGCGCAAGGGGUGCAACAUGAGACAGCCAUGCAGAGUGAAUGAAGAAGGCCUUCGGGUUGUAAAGUUCUUUAGGUAGCGAGGCGUUAACUACAGAAGAAGCACCGGCUAACUCCGUGCCAGCAGCCGCGGUAAUAC
rnacentral:rRNA from 1 species